GGUAAUACCGGCGCCUCAAGUGGUAGUCGCUUUUAUUGGGCCUAAAACGUCCGUAGCCGGUCUGAUACAUUCGUGGGUAAAUCAACCAGCUUAACUGGUUGAAUUCUGCGAGGACGGUCAGACUUGGGACCGGGAGAGGUGUGGGGUACGCUCAGGGUAGGGGUAAAAUCCUGUCAUCCUGAGCGGACCACCUGUUGCGAAGGCGCCACACUAGAACGGAUCCGACGGUCAGGGACGAAGCCUAGGGGCACGAACCGGAUUAGAUACCCGGGUAGUCCUAGGUGUAAACGCUGUGGACUUGAUGUUGGGGGUGCUCCGAGCACUCUCAGUGUCGAAGCGAAGGUGAUAAGUCCACUGCCUGGGAAGUACGGUCGCAAGGCUGAAACUUAAAGGAAUUGGCGGGGGAGCACCGCAACCUGAGGAUUGUGCGGUUUAAUUGGAUUCAACGCCGGAAAACUCACCAUAGCCGACGGACAAAUGAAGGUCAGUGUAAUGAACUUACCGGAUUGUUCGAGAGGUAGUGCAUGGCCGCCGUCAGUUCGUACCGCAAGGCGUUCUGUUAAGUCAGAUAACGAACGAGACCCUCAUCUCUAUUUGCUAACUGAAUCUCCGGAUUCAGUGCACUAUAGGGAGACCGCUGGCG
rnacentral:rRNA from 1 species